rnacentral:rRNA from 1 species
CCCUUAGAUGUUCUGGGCCGCACGCGCGCUACACUGUUCGACGCAGCGAGUCUUAACCUUGACCGAAAGGUUUGGGUAAUCUUCAGCAAAGUCGAACGUGAUGGGGAUCGAUCAUUGCAAUUAUUGAUCGUGAACGAGGAAUUCCUAGUAAGUGCAAGUCAUCAGCUUGCGCUGAUUACGUCCCUGCCCCUUGUACACACCGCCCGUCGCUACUACCGAUUGAAUGGUUUAGUGAGAUCUCUGGAUUGACGCUGGCUAGGGGGCGACCCUUGGCCAGACUGUUGAGAAACUGCUCAAACUUGAUCAUUUAGAGGAAGUAAAAGUCGUAACA